CCCCCCCCCCCUGGUUCACAAAAUUUGAGUUCGAGAAUUUUUUUAUUAUGCUACAUUAGAAAUACCCAGAGAAGCUAUAUACAACAAAAAGUGGAUACUAAUAGCUGUUUUGCGAAAUUAAGAGCAAUUUCAAAUCUGUUCAGUUAUUUUUGAUACACUCUGUAUAACAAAACACUUAAUGUCUGUUCCUUUGAGAAAUAGUUUCGUUUCUCGUCCAAUCUCAAUGUUUACCUCGACUUCGUCUCGGAAAACUUGAGACUCUCGGGGAAACAAAACGAUUUCCCUCGGGAGCAGACAUGAG